rnacentral:lncRNA from 1 species
CACAACAGGGAACAGAGGUUGAGAAACCGGCAUUGCGGGAGAUGAUGAAGGAGUGACUCCAUUGGCUACAUUAGAUGAUGUUGGCACAGUCAUCCCCAUACCAUGAACGGGAAAGAGUUGUUGUGGAUGAUACCCUAAAUGGGCAGGUGGAUGAACAGAAACCGCUGGAUUAUGUGGAUACCAUUGUUGCGGUGGAGGAGGCAUAGGCCAUGCAGGACCAGGAGGCCGAAUAGAAGCACCGGGAUAGUACCUAUUGACAGAAAAUAAUAUAACAUGAUCAAAAGUGAUAAAAUAUAAAAAAUAUCUUAGAUAAGAAAACAAUAGUGGAACAGUUAUUCUAAGCCAUAGUUCUAUAUUGUACAAUCUUAAGAGCGAACUAAGGAAAAAAAAAAGAACCUUGUGGAUCAUAUUUGGUCAAAUUUUAGGACCAGGAAACGAAAAAAGUAGCUAUGGAUCAAAUUAUGAAGAAAACAGAGACAACAUCCUAAGAUCCUACAAGUCACAGCAAAACAGAGAAUAUAGUGUACAUACAUAGGUCGCACAGCACCAGGCACUUGUUGAGGUUGAUAUACCAUUCCGUAAGGUCUAGGAACUGCGGCACCAAUAGGGACGGAAGGAAUCUCAACUUUUGCAACUUUGGCUAGAGACUCUUCCUCUGGCAGAAAACACAGCGUCAGUACACUAACUAAUGCAAAAUAAAGAAGAUGACAUGAACAGUAAUGCAAACAAUAAUACAUGUCAAGUUGUCAAGUCCAUUUACCUUCUUCUCCGUAGUGAGCAGCCAAGAGAUGAGGUGGGAUUCCUUGCAUUCCGUAUAUUUCAAUAUCAGUUGAAUCUCGACCGUCUUUAGCAUUAGGAACCCUAAUGGGAAAACAUAUCAAAGUUAGAGCAGUGUAUGAAAUCAGAAGAUGUGAUGUGAGAACUAUAACAUUAUGCAUCAUCUCUAGCUACAAGCCCAAGCCCAAGCAAGAACAGCUACUAAAAGGAUCAAUUACCCUUUUUAAUACACCCAACCAAACCAAGACUUAAAAUUCGAUAUGCAAACACAUUGAACCCCCUUGAAAUCUCCCUAUCAAACAAUCAAAAGAGUGGUCCUUUCCGAUAAUGCAAUAAAGAUUCAAUUUUUUAAAUAGAAAUCAAAAGAUGAUCAGGCACAUACUUUGUAACGUUCUCUUUAUGAACCUGAAGGACAUGAAUGACCAUUCCGCUAGCUGUAGAGAGCUUCUUGUGGCAGGCAUGGCACUUGAAGUGUUUCGCUUUCUGGUGCUGCACUAGUAUCUUCUCGUCCUCGAACUCUCUGUCGCAGUAAUAGCACCACACCUUCUCCGUCGCUCUCUUCUUCUUCUUCCCCAUCACCCUGUCUGUUUAUCUCACGAAUGAUCGCUUCCCUCCCUCUCCUUCCGCUCGCUAGGGUUUCUGUUCCCACAAUCUAUUUGCUUCUGCGAUCUCUAGAUUCUUCUUCUUUUCUUUUAUUUAGAAGACGUGUCAUGAUAAGAUUAUUUUUACGGUGCUCAUUUGGAAAUUUCACCUUUUUAUGUAGGGCCAAAUUGUAAUUCUACUAUUUUAGUUCUAACUUGAACAUCAGUUUUUUUUCUUUCUUUUAACUCAUCAACAAACUUUAUAUUCACCAAAAUUGAGGACAAGGUGGUGUUUAGGGGUGUCAAAAAUGAGCUGACAACUCGCUCAACUCAGCUUAGCUCAUAGUGAGCUCAUAUAUUUCAUGAGCUAACUCAACUCAGUUCAUUUAUUAUAUGAAAUUUCAUAUGUAAAUUCGAACUCAGAUCAUCUAGUUAAAUGAGCUAACUCGCGAUUAAAUAUAAAAAAAUAAAUUAUAUAAUAUAAAAUAAAAUAAUUUUCAUAAUAUAAUUCAAAAUUUUGAAUAUUAGAAAUCCAAAACAUUAAUAUUAAACUAGAUUCUGACCCGUCCUUAUUUUUUUGUUUUACAUUUUUUUAGAAAUUUAAUUUUUAUAUUUAUGUUUUAUUAAUAUUUGUGUUUUUCUUUGUAUAAUAUAUUUAUUAUAUGAUUAAUAAGAGGUUUUAAUAAUUGUACCACACUUAUGUCAAUAGAUCUUGAUGUUGUCUUAAUAUAAUAGAUUAAAAUAAAAUAUUUAAAUUAUAACCCAUUUUGUAUUAAAAUCAUUUUUAUGCUUUAAACCUUUUUGAUACAAUUUGUUAAAAUUUACUUAUAUAAUUUGAUUUUGUUUUUUAAAUUGGAAUUAAUAUUUAUAAAUAUAUAAUAUGAAUAGUGAAUAUAAUAUGAUUAUUCAGUUGUAGUUGUUACAAAGUUGAGUAAAAUGCUAAAGUUGAUUCUAAUAUUAAAAGGUUGUCGACAUUUUUUUAGUAGGCUAGGAAGAAGUGGGUUCCUAUUAAUUUGGAAUCAAAGAAGUUGUUAUAAAUAUGUAUAAGAUAGUUAUUGUUGGACUAAACUUCGAUCUAUUGGUCAUGAUCCUGAUUUAAUAGUAUUGAUACUGAAUAAAAUCAAAACCUAAUAAUAAAUUAAAUAAAAGAUAAAUUAGUGAUCCAAAAGUCUAUUCCACAUACGAGUCUUAAGGUGAUUCAUCUUCAAAGUCUUCAUCUAUUCAAAUCAUAACGAUAUAUAUUCCGCAUGAGAGUUUGAGGAAUAUUUUGUUUUACAUUUUAAUUCUAAAGAUAUAUGAUACGAAGAUUGAUAUCAUAUUCUUUUACAUUGUUAUAUAUAUUAAAACUUUUUGGUUUUACAUUUUAAUUUUAGAAGAUAAAUAUGAUUAAUAUAAAAAGAGUUGUUGUGGAUGAUACCCUAAAUGGGCAGGUGGAUGAACAGAAACCGCUGGAUUAUGUGGAUACCAUUGUUGCGGUGGAGGAGGCAUAGGCCAUGCAGGACCAGGAGGCCGAAUAGAAGCACCGGGAUAGUAC